GUUCUGGAACCCGCUGUUUGUCUGGUGCUAGAAUUGUUGUCCUCAAACGAUGGUGGUGAUUUCGUUGCGGGCUUAUGUCGCUAGGGCGGGAUGUUUGGCUUCCAAUUAAGUUGAUUUGUUGUUUGUGACGUGAUUUGUGUGUCCUGCUGUUGCAUUUGGCUGCUAAAUCGGCUGUGUGCUCUUAGGUUCAAAUUAGUCAGGACUGUAUUAGGGUUUCCAUUAGGCUGUAUGUUAGGCACACUCUCCUGCUUUAUUACUGUACCUUGAAAUGUAGAAUACAUGGAUAAUGAAGGGUAAGUGGAAAGUGAAACAAAUCUCGUAAUUCUGACUAUUAAACUGCAAGGAAUAGACACUUUGAAAUGUUUUAAGCCAAAAAUUGAACCUAGGAUGGAGGAAUGAACCUUGUCAAAAAGCCCAACCAAGUGUGCUGAACAGUGACCACUAGCCUGUUUUCUGCAAGUUAUACUGUGAUACUUAUACUGAUAUGCUCUAUUUCAAAUAUUUUGGCCUUUACUGUAACUUUCAUGUGGCUUAAUAAGAUCUGAAAGAAAUUGAGGUUUACUAAUUAAAUUGUCUUGUAUAGUAGGUCUUUCAAUUGAAGUUGGUAUUCUAGGUGCUAAAUUUGUCCAUUUAUAACUUUUUUCGGGGUUUCCUUGGUUUUAGGAGAUAUACUUGGACCAAGACUUCAUGUUGUGUGAUUCAAAUGUUUGGUCAGCACAUCUAGGUGGAGCAUUUUCUGCCCUGCUUUCAUAAUUGCAUUAUACUUCUGAUAAGAUUAACCAAAAAAAAUCAAAAAGAUUGACAAAAAAAAUGGACUUCAAUUUCUAGUGGUGAAUUGUAAGAAUUAGUCUAUUCACUGGUAUUACUUUGCCUGUGGUUAAUUGUUGGAGUGGUAUCAUUUAGGCAAUUCUAUUUCAAAAUUUCUCUCACAUGUCACGUUUUCAUUCUUAUUUACCGCUACGGCAAUGUGCAAAGUGCGUUUGAAAGCAUUCAUGAGUGUUGCUGUUGAUUUUGGUUGGCAGAUUGCAUAUGCAUAAUUUCGAUGUAAACUACAUGAUAAAGUAUAUUUUCUUUUACGGAAACUUGCAUGUAAGAUGCACCCAAAUAACCAGGCUUUAUGAGUUCACUUCUGGUCUUCUCAUUUUCCCCUUCUUUUCUUUCUUUUUUGUUUCCACUUCUUUUAUGGCUCAUUAAGUUACUGCUUACCACGCAACUGUAUCUACCAUGGUGUUCUUUCAUCAAUACAUGCUUAUCUGCUAUGGGAUGCCUACUUCUUCAUAAACGGGGUGAUAGAAGAAUCCUAUUGGGUGUUUUAUGGUUAAGAACUAUCCUACCUAUUUUAAGGGUUGAAGAUUUUGUGUUGUUCAAAAGAUAGUCAACCUUUUCUUAAUCAGAUAAAUUUUGGGAACUCGAGGUUUAGUCAAUGGUUGGUAAUUUUCAUGUCCAUCCAAUGCUGCAAUAUUUUAUUGGCAAAUGAUGUAAUUUUUUUUCUAGUCCAUGAGCACACUGAUGGUGAUAUCCUGUUUGACCCUCAUUUACGUGGUAGGUCCUGCACUCCAUUUUCUGAUUCCAGUGGUUGUGGGACGGGACAUAUUGAAUUGCCUUAUGAUCUGUUAUUUCAUUUUGGUAUGUUCAACACUUCAAAUGACUUAGAUUCGAGUCUUUGUUUAUGAUGCUUUUCAUGAUGCAUUUUGACUUGCUCAUGCUGCCUAAGUUCUUACAAUGAGUAGCUAGGAGAUUCUCUGGUUUCUACAGAAGUUCAUGGAUAUGGCUGAUAUGAUGGCAACCAUAGGAUAAUCCUCAGAUACUCUUGCUGGUAUCCCUAGGAUCAACUAUCAUUACAUGUCACACCUUGAAAGCUUAAGAUACCAGGUGCUGACUCAUAUCUUAAUCUCUGAUGAAUGGUUGCAAUGGAUGGUGUGCCAUCCUUUUAGGAUGUAGGCUAUGAAGAGUCACCACCUUAAGCAUAAAAAAAUUGCGCAUAAAAUUUAUUAAAAAUGCGAGGAGCAUAAGUUCGUGAUGUGCAAUAAAACCUAAACAUGUUGAUGUGACAACAAACAUAAGGGCAGAUAUGUAUGUCUUAGUGCCUCAUCUUUCAGUUUUUCUAAUGGUUAAGGAUAGUGGUUCACAAACUAAAGCUCUCUUUUCGCAGUUUUUUUAUCUAUUACCCUCUUCUGACAUCCUGAUUGACCCUCAUUUUACAUAGUAGUUAUCCUAUUAUGAAUUUGUUGCUGAAAGAUCCAGCAAUGUUCUGGCUUUAUAUACUUCGUCACUGAAGAGCUUGAUAAAACAAGUUACAAAGGUUACAGGACAAAGACUAUAAGAGAGUGAAAGCAGGGGGUGCGAGGUGGGAGAUAGUUUUGAUCUUUUGUCGCACCCACUACCCUUCAAUUUCUGAUCUAAUAACAAGCUCAGCGGCUUUUGAUUUUUCAGCAUAAAGGUUAUAAGGCAAUACCACAACGGUGAAAACAUCUUGAACCACUGAUUUCUUUUCUAAAAAAAUGAUUGAUUGUUUUACAAUUUUCACCUAUGAUAAUAUAGAAUGGGUUAGGAUACUCGGCGCUAGCCUGUUCUUUCUCUUCUUGCCCGUUAAUUCAUUUAUCUGCCAAACUACCUUUUGUUUCGUAAUAUUUUUCAUCUUACAGAAGGCGUCAUAGAAUCAUGAUGAGGAUUGAAUUUUUUUUGGUGGGAAAAAGGGUUCAGUUUGUGGUAGUUGAGUUGAACGUCCUCCUUUGAUGCGAACCUACGAAUUCCAAGGAACCAAAUGGUGGAGUUGAAAAAAAUUGAUGGUGAUUCUUUAUUUUCGUAGUUAUAUGCAGGGUUGGGUACUGAGGUUACCUCAUUUCUUUCAGCAUGUAAUCUUGUGUAAUGGGGGCCUUUCUAUUUGUUCUGGUUGCAUGUGGUAUUUUUUUUGUAUGAUAGAUUUAGGAGUCACUAUACUUAGUUUUUUUCCCUUACGAGGAUGAGCUUCAUUAGUUAUUACGAGGUCAAAAUUGAAUAUCGCAAA